GGGGCUCUCGUGGCUGGGGGAGGGGCGAGGAGUCCCGGGUUCCCAAGGUGUGACACAGCCCGUCCGCAAGCAGCCUGUCCGGGAAGGGACACGCCUCGGCCCGACCCCUGGGACGCAGCGGCUGCUCGGCCAACGCCUGCUGAAGCCCGUGUGACUCUAGGUGACGUGCUUCCUGAUGCAGAGCCGCCUUCGCCACCGCGUCCUCGCGGGCUCCUCCGGCCUGGACUCGGGCUGCGGCCGCAGAGCUCUCUAGUGGCAGCUUCUCCGCGGGGCUGGUGCGUCGUGCCCCGGAGGCGCAGGAUGGACGACGUUGCCGGCGGACGGUGUGGAUCCCCCACUAGACCAAGAGCUUGACAGAAGCAGAAUCGGGCUUGACGAGUCACAGACCAGCCGGCCGGCAGGUGCAGGAAAGAGACUGGCUCAGAGAGGUUCAGCACCUUGCCCAGAGUCACACAGCGAGUCCACACGGAGGUAAUUACCAACGACUCGCAGGGAGCGGCGUUCCCGCGGGCGACGCGCAGACAACGGGACGUGGCCCCCCGCACCCCAGGCGGGAACCGGCCACUGUUCUCUGCCUCUGCACACGUCCUUCAUCUAUCACCGCACCUCCUCUCCGUGAGCCCCACGAACCCACGGAAACGCCUGGACACGUGGGCCGCUGGUGUCUUCCUGCUCGACAUGAGUUCUGAAAAUGUGCGGGCCUUCUUGAAAAUCGCGUCCUAGGGGAGUCCGGGAGGCUCAGUCCAGCUUCGGCUCAGGUCACCAUCUCACAGUUGUGAGUUCGAGCCCCGCAUCGGGCUCUGUGCUGACAGCUCG